rnacentral:lncRNA from 1 species
CCCAAAGAAAAAAACAAAUGUUACCCAAUAGGCAAACAAUGCUGAGAGUUCACUUCCUCUAACUCUGUAGUUAAGUUACUCACUCAGUAUAACAUCACCCUCCUGCCAGGGGUUGAAGUCAGGAAGUAGUUUAUUUUCGCUGAAACUGAAGGGGGAAGUUAAAGAGAAAAAUAGCUGCAACUUGGUCAAUUCAGGAAAACCAGGUACGAAAAAAGAGGAGCAAGUUAAAGGGAAAGCCAGCUCGGAUUUGCUCACCAGUAAAAGGCAAAAAUCCCAGUGUUAUUCAUCUGCAUUUGGUGUGAAAGACAAAAGCUCAACUGGGAUCUGAGGCUUUCUGUGUCAGAGGGCAAGGAGUCAAUGGGGUUAUGAGGAAGUAAGACCACUUGAGACAUCAAAGAAAAGUAGAUCAAAUCACUAGACUCCUCCAAACAGGAGUGGGUGAAGACAAAAAGUGGAGAGAAUCCAGAGGGAAGAGAGGAGUAGGGAAAAUGGUGGAAAGGGAAGGUUUUUGAGAUGGAAGGCAGAGAAUGGGAACAAAAGAAGAAAAAGCUGUUUGUUUCAAAUCAAUAUUCUCCAAGAGGAUGUCUUGUUUCCCCAGGGAUAUUCUGAGGGACUCACAGGAUCAGAGCUGCGACACUUCUAACAUAUGAAUUCUCUCAAUUCUGAUGCCCUUUGACCUCUGCCACACAAUGCCAAGACAAACCCAGACCCCAGGCCCUGGAAACAGAGGAGGGGCAGGCAGAUUGACUGGCAAGCCUAUCACCACCUUGAUAACAGAUGACAUUAAAGAGAAAGUAUCAAUGUGAGGAUUAAAUGGGAUGAAAAAUAAAACAUCUGUCGGAGUGCCUGGAAUAUGGUACACAAAUAUCCAAGAUUGGAAAGAAGAAAGAAAAUGACGACAGAAUUUUGCAGUCUACAAGGCAAACACUGCCAUUCAUGUAGUUAUGGAGUUCCUACUAUGUGCAGACAAUGGGAAACUUUACGAAGAGCAGGUAUUCAUGGGCAACAAUUUAGGAAAUGAUACAGAAAGAAAGGAAGGCUGGAAAGACCAAAGAAAAACAGCUACAGUUUUGCCAAGAACCAGCCCCACGCUUCAUGAGAAUUGUGAUACAUUUACAUUUGGCUUUUAAUUUCUGUAUCAAUUUGGACUGUGUUUUUGUGAAAAUGAGAUAAUAUAUGUGAAAGUACCUAGCUGAAUUCUUGGGAUAUGGCAAAAACCCAAUAAAUAUAAGUUUUUACUACUGUGUUAAGCAUCUUCUUGUCGUAAGCAGAAUUUACCCAGUUGAUAAGGAAAAGAUAAAGCUUAGUUGAGCCAAUUAGCAUAAAACAUUUC